rnacentral:tRNA from 1 species
UCCCUGGUGGUCCAGUGGCUAAGACAUGGCACUCUCAAUGCAGGAGGCCCAGGUUCAAUCCCUGGUCAGGGAA